CCUGAGAAAGGGAUGUCUGUCAGUUUGAUGGUGAUACACUUGCCAAGGCCCGUGGUGCCCAUAAGCGAUAAUGAGCAGGAACUGUGAAGGUAAGAGGUCCUCAGAUGCCAGAUUAUUGAACUGGGGGGGGGGGACCCCAUGCAUUGGAAAUUGAAAACCAGGAGGGUGUUGUGUGUCAAAGGAUUGUGCCUUGACUUCAAGGGGAACGCUGGGGAGAUGGGUUUUGCUCAUGCUCAAGUGCUAAGAGAUUGCCACACUGGUUUUCCCACAUAUUGGAGGACAGGAAGGCCUUGGGAAUUGCAUAAAUGAAUCCUGCUAUUUCCUACCAACCAAUCCCAUUUUAAAAAAUAUUAAACAAAUCUCACACCCAACCAAUUAAUUAAGCCUGUGUUUUUCAGUGGAAAUUUUAGGGCCAGAGUCAAUUGAAUGGUCAUGCUAGUAGGAACCUGUACAAUGAUUCCCACUAGCGUUCUCCUCUCCUUCCCACACCCAACUGCCAUUUGCUCCAGUUGAGUGCUAAAGAGCAGCUUUCCCAGGGGAUGGGGAGCAGCCAGGUGAAGUGGAAGUGCAGAGAAGCUCCCCGCUACCUCUUCCCCAUUUUGAAGUGGGUGAAAAGAGCUCAGAAACGGUCCUUGCCAAUUCAGUACAGUCCUAAUAGUUUUUUAAAAUUAAAUUUGAAAAUGGAAAGCGUAAUGGGGUGGUCAACAAAAGAGGUUGAAAGACUCUCUCAAGGCAAAUCUAAAAAAAAUGUAGUAUAAACGCCAACACCUGGGAAACACUGGCCUGUGAGCGCUCCAGUCGGAGAACAGCCUUUACCAAAGGUGUCAUAGGCUUUGAAGACACUCAAACUCAGGACGCAAGGGAGUAACGUGCUAAGAGGAAGGCACACUUGGCAAACCCUCACCGUGAUCAACUCCUGCCCAGAAACCUAUGUCCCCACUGUGGAAGGACGUGUAGAUCCAGAAUUGGCCUCCACAGUCACUUACGGACUCACUGUUAUGACUGUGUUCAUGGAAGACCAUCUUACUUGGCUAUGAGUGAUCGCCAAAGAAGAGUAGUUUAGGGAUAUCAUUCAUGUAAUUGAAUUUCAGGACUUAAUUUGAGCCAAGUUUGCCAAUACUGCUCUGUCCUAAAACAUAGGAAGUAGCCAAACUUGAAUGCUCCAUUUAUUCACCACCACUGUUCACACAUCUAAAAACAUGUGUCAGAAUCCAUGGGUACGCAGACAGCCUUGGGCCUUCUGCAAUGUUUCCCUGUCCAUUAAGUCUUUCAUAUUUGGUCUUUAUGAUUGCAGUUCCUCUGUUGGCCAAUAUCCCAGACCACAAUACUCCACCACACAUACCCCCAGUGAGGCAAUCCUGUUUUCUUUUUCUCAUUUCUCUGACAGCCAGCAGAGUGUGUGACUCACAAACGGAACUGGAUUUACCCCUUUAAUGAUUCAUUCCUUUUGGGGGAAGAAAUUGUGUUUCUAUGGAGGGCCUUGAUCCAGCAUCCCCUUUCUGGCGUUGUUAGUGUCAAGAAGGCAUCCUCAGAGGUCAGACUGUUGGCAGCACAAACGGAUCGAACUUACCGUUUGUUAUGAUUCAUCCACCCCCUUAAACAUAAAAUAAGGAGUUUUACUGGAAAGCUCAACACUGCUAAGAAAGGGCAGUUUUUCAAAAUUCUAAAAAUACUAACUGCACCAUCCAGGGUCCUCUUCUUGCUGCUGGAUUCUGGUCCUGGAAAACAGGGUUGUUUUAUUUGUUCUGUGCAUUUCACGGGGAUUUUUAUUACAGAUGUUGCACCUCUGGUGCCCUACGAACAGGUAAGGGCAGUCUAGUCUUUAUAGACAAGACAACGGCUACUUUCUCUCCUUGGAACUUUCUGGUGCUUUUUCCACCACAGUGUGAACCCUACCAAUCCCUCUGGCAGCAUAAGAGAAUGCCUUCCUGGCUUGGUCUAUGUUAAGUUGUGGGUGAACAUAUCAGAUGACACAGCGAUUCUUCAAACAGCUCUUCUUUAUUCAGAGGCCACAACAGAACUGAAAUGAAGGGCUCAGUCAGCCUGCUUAUAUAGAGCUCCAGUACAAUGUUACUGUAGCAACUUUCUAAAACUAUCCAAUCACUGAACGUCACUUUCGAUCCUUCAUUUGCAUAACUAUCUACAGUAUCCCCCUGCUGGCCCAGGGUAAGAACUUCAGUACAUAACAGUCUAUAUACAGGUAACUCACUCAUUUAAGAUUUUUUUAUUUAUGAUGUAAAAAUGGCAUGCAUGGGUGGUGGGGGGAGGAUAAAAUUGUGAAAAUGUGAGGGAGGUGGUGGUAGAGCAGGAGAAAACAGGCAGCAGCCCAAGAAGUGAAGAAGAAGAAGAAGAAGAAGAAGAAGAAGAAGAAGAAGAAGAAGAAGAAGAGGAGUUGUUGUUUGGAUUUGAUAUCCCGCUUUAUCACUACCCGAAGGAGUCUCAAAGCUGCUAACAUUCUCCUUUCCCUUCCUCCCCCACAACAAACACUCUGUGAGGUGAGUGGGGCUGAGAGACUUCAAAGAAGUGUAACUAGCCCAAGGUUACCCAGCAGCUGCAUGUGGAGGAGCGGGGAUGCGAACCCGGUUCACCAGAUUACGAGUCCACCGCUCUUAACCACUACACCACACUGGCUCUCAAGCCUUCCUUAGAGUGUUUAGGUGAGGAAGAGGCAGUUGGUGAGGACGAUUGGAGGAGGCAGAGAGAUUUGUAGAGUGGAAGAGCUCAUUGAGGGCCAACAGACUGUUGAAGCAUUGGAGGGACUGGUUAGAUCAGGUUCAGGAUGCAAGGAUUGACGGUGCUGGCAUGAGCCAGCAAGCUAGAACAACUCCUCCAAGUCGCAUAGCACGCAAACGAUCCGUUUGCAGACUUUGAACCCCUCCAUAGAACGCAGCCUCAAGAUCAUCCAUGGGAUUGCAGACCCCCCGAGACGUAUCAUGAAAUAUAUAAGGAGCUCAAGAGGCAACAGCAUCUGCCAACCACUGUAUUCCUCACCAAGAAAACCACCAGCGGCAGGCAUUAGUUGUUCCCCACCUCUGGAUCUGUACCACAGCCAAGCACUUCUUCCAGCUACUGGUCAACCCCGUCGGUCUUUAUAUCAUCUGAAGCAUCAUCCGGCGAGGGAGAGGAGGAGAAAGAGGAGGAAAACUAAGAGCCGCAUUCAUCUGCAAUUUUCUACGUGGUUUUUAAAUGGUAUUCUAGGGGUCAGUCCGACUUUACGCGAUUUUGCUUAUAUGCAUGGUGGCCAGAACCUAACCACCACUGUCAGGGACUGGGCAGAAGAGGGAUGGUGGAGAGCACCUCCCCAGCCUGAGCCUUCCAGAGAAGAAGAAGACAGUUCAGAAUUACAACAGGGGUUUGAGGGAGGUCACAGCUCAGGGGAAGAUGAGGGGGAAAGUUGGGAAAUAAUGGGAGAGGAGGAGGAGGAGGAGGCAGAGCUGGAGCAGCUGGCUGACACUUUAUCACUAGAAAGCCUUCCAAACCCUCCAUCUCCCAGAACCUGGCGAGCCUAGAAAGUAUGAGAGCAAAGAGCUCAAAGACAGAGGGCACAUAGCAGCACCCGUAGAAGUGACGAAUGUGGGAUAGAUGGGAGUGGGGGUGGAGAUUCACUCGGGACAAUGCCAUUAUCCAAGAGGCUGCAUUCUCAAGCCUCUCUCUGUAAAUAUUGAACAAAAAGCAGAUUGUAAGGACUUUUCCUUGUCUUCUCCGUUCCUGGAGGUUGGUUCCUCUGCUGCCUGACACUCAUAUCAGAUGCGAGUUACCUUUAUUAGAACAGAAUUACAUAAAUCCAUAGCUAAAACUAUAUAGACCUUUCCAGACAAACAAAGCCAUUGUUGGCCUUUACCUGUAGCACCAGUCCCAUUAUCGUGGAAUACCUAAAGGGGAAUAGCCUUGUUGCAGUGGGUGGUUGCUUUGGGCAAGGUAUAUGUGCAAAUAUUGUUGCAUACUCCACGACUAGCUGGGAAACGGGCAUAUCAGAUUGCAGCCUGAAUCAUAUCCUGUUAGAUCAUCCCCGCUUCCCUUACUGGUGGAAAGUUCCAGGACAGUAUUGCUGGGGUUCUUCCAUUUGAAGCAAUUUAAACUUAGGAUGUCUUUGUAACGUUUGGCUUAUUUGCAAAUAUACAAAGCAGAGUGAAAGUUGGACCACAUACACUCUGCAGUAGGUAGCAAAUCUGUUGACCCAUAAUAAUGAAAUGUGUAAAGAUGCUUGAGGAAUUCAGCUUCUUUGAAUUCAAACAUGAACCAUCCUCUCAGACUAAUUUGUGGUUGAGAACUUAAUUAUCCGUUGGCAUUCACACUUCCAUUGACAGUUCUUCCACUGACAGUUCUCAACUGAAAAAAAACACAUGAAAAGGCACUUGCUUUUUUCUUUUCAACGUAAAUACUUUUAGAAGUGCAUAUUUUGAGAGAAAAUACACUUAAAAUUCAUAUUAACAUACAUAUUUAAAUAUACAUUUUCAUGUACUAAGAUGGGCAGAAAGAGAGUGAGCAGACUUAAAAGCGACAUGGAUCAAAAAUCCCCAAAACCGUGUUUCCUGCUUACAAUGUAAACCUUCUGUGAAUUGAUGUUUAGGGAAUACAUCAACAUAAAAUUUCCAUGCUUUUUUAUGCAUGACUAAAGUCAUGAGUGUCUUAAUUUUUUUCCUGUUUAAAAAGUGACCCCUCCCCCAUCCUGGAAUCUAUUUUACACUCCUAAGUACAGUACGCGGGUGGUGCCGUGGGUUAAACCAUAGAGCCUAGGACUUGCUGAUCAGAAGGUCAGUGGUUCGAAUCCCCGCAAUGGGGUGAGCUCCCAUUGCUCAGUCCCUGUUCCUGCCAACCUAGCAGUUCGAAAGCACGUCAAAGUGCAAGUAGAUAAAUAGGUACCGCUCCAGUGGGAAGGUAAACGGCGUUUCCAUGUGCUGCUCUGGUUCGCCAGAAGCGGCUUAGUCAUACUGGCCACAUGACCCGGAAGCUGUACGCUGGCUCCCUCAGCCAAUAAAGCGAGAUGAGCACCGCAACCCCAGAGUCGGCCACGACUGGACCUAAUGGUCAGGGGUCCCUUUACCUUUAAGUACAGUACAGUUCAGCGCUAACCUUGGUCAAAUAGUGGUGGUGGUGCUCAGUGGGAUCUGAAUAGAAAAAGCACCCAACUUUUCAUACAUCAACGACAACUCCAGUUCUAGCUUUCUGCUAUUUGGGUGCAGGGGCAUGUUGGCUUGUUGCCGUCAAAAUGAGCUCACUUUGAAACUCCAGUUCCUUGUUUGAUCUCUUAUUUGUGUUGCUUGACUACUGUCAGUCCUAGCAGGGCUGUCUUUACCCAGGGGUACAAGGGGUGCGGGGCACCCAGGCGCCAAAUUCUGGGGGGCGCCAGGCACCUGCCGCUGAAGCUGCCUAAGCUCUUAACCAGGAGUAAGCAAACUAAGGCCCGGGGGCUGGAUCUGGCCCAAUCGCCUUCUAAAUCCGGCCUGCGGACGGUCUGGGAAUCAGCAUGUUUUUACAUGAGUAGACUGUGUGCUUUUAUUUAAAAUGCAUCUCUGGGUUAUUUGUGGGGCAUAGGAAUUUGUUCAUUUUUUUUCUUCAAAUAUAGUCCAGCCCCCCACAAGGUCUGAGGGACAGUGGGCCGGCCCCCUGCUGAAAAAGUUUGCUGACCCCUGCUCUUAACUAUCUACCUGUUAUGAAAUAAGAAAUAGUUUUUAUCAAGCUAGAAAAACAAAAUACAUAUAUACCUAUGUAUUACCAAAACGUAUACCUUCUGUUUCACUAAAGGACUUUCGACUUUGUGCACUCAUUUACCAAAGAUGCGCUGUACCAGCGACGGCACUUGUCAUUUACAACAGUGGCGCUUGUCAUUCACAAUGGCGCCGAGCACGCGAAAUUAACUCUUACAUCAAAAUAUUAUAUUACAUAUUGUAUUGAGCUGCUAUGCGGCAGCGGGGUCAGUGACACCCUUGACAUGACUGAUGUUUCUCCUAAGUAGGUGCCUAAACAAUACUUGUAAGUUUAAGUGUAGUGGUGUUGUAUACUUAAGUAUAAGUGUAUUGUAAAUAAAUGAGCAAAUAAAAAAGUUUGUUUCUUUUUCCUCCCUUCUUUCGUAGACAAGAGAUAAGGCGUAAGCGUGGUGUCUGACAUAAGCAUAAUAAAAGUUAAUUGGGGGGCUAAACUAAAUUUGGGGGUGCUGGGUGGAUCUUUGCACCCAGUGGCGCAUAUGCGAAAGACAGAUGUUUGUGUGGAUGCCUGAUUAUCGUCUUCCAAAGCAACUACUCUAUUCCGAACUGGAAUGGAAAGCGUAAUGCUGGUGGUCAACAAAAGAGGUUUAAGGACUCUCUCAAGGCAAAUCUUUAAAAAUGUAGUAUAAACACUGACAACUGGGAAACACUAGCCUGUGAGCGCCCCAAUUGGAGAACAGCCUUUACCAAAGGUGUCAUGGGCUUAGAAGACACUCAAACUCAGGACGCAAGGGAGAAACGCGCUAAGAGGAAGGCAUGCUUGGCAAACCCUCACCGUGAUCAACUCCCACCCAGAAACCUAUGUCCCACUGUGGAAGGACAUGUGGAUCCAGAAUUGGCCUCCACAGUCACUUACAGACUCACUGUUAAGACCAUGUUCAUGGAAGACAAUCUUACUCAGCUACGAGGGAUCGCCAAAGAAGAAAAAGACCUGGAUCCCAGUGGCAGCAAUGCUUAUACUAUAGCAAUGAUUCGAGGGGGGCUUCUCUGAAGUUUCUCGUUUGAGAACUCGCUUGGCUGGGGUGGGAGAGAAGCAGAGGGAGAAAAAUCACAUCUGGCUGGCUCUUAUCCCAGAUAAAUUCUCUCCCCUUCAUUCAUGUUUCCUGUGGCUUCGGGACAAUCAAACUAAGGAAUGUUUCCAUGAACGUACCUUUCAGAAGGCACAGUAUGUGAGCGAUAUGCCCCAAGAGCACCCCACUGCUUCUUCCUUUCCUCGGCUUCUACGCUCUGCAAGGCUUUCUCCAGCAAUUACGUAAAACACUGUCAACAUCCUGGCAAGCCUCAGCCCCUGGCAAGAUCAAAGGCCCUGAUGUGCCAGUCCUUGAAAGUGAGGAAAAACAAGAAGCACGGUUAUCUAUCUAGGAGUGCCAACCUUCACACACAGCUCUGCAACUUAAAAGACUGAAAGGAGAGCCGUAUUGUGAAGAAGAAUAUAUUCUUAAUAUGGCUGUUCAGUAUUAUUAUUUGCUAAUAAUAAUAACAAUAAUAAUAAUAAUAACUUUAUUAUUUAUGCCCCGCCCAUCUGGCUGGGUUUUCCCAGUCACUCUGGGUGGCUUACAACACAUAAAAAAAUUGUAAAACAUUAGACAUUAAAAAUUUCCCAAUACAGGGUUGCCUCCAGAUGUCUUCUAAAAGUCAGGUAGUUGUUUAUUUCCUUGACAUCUGAUGGGAGGGCAUUCCACAGGGCGGGCGCCACUACUGAGAAGGCCCUCUGCCUGGUUCCCUGUAACUUCACCUCUUAUAGUGAGGGAACCGCCAGAAGGCCCUCGGAGCUGGACCUCAGUGUCCAGGCUGAACAAUGUGGAGAUGCUCCUUCAGGUAUAUUGGGCCAAGGCCGUUUAGGGCUUUAAAGGUCAGCACCAACACUUUGAAUUGUGCUCAGAAACAUACUGGGAGCCAAUGGAGGUCUUUCAGGACCGGUGUUAUAUGGUCCCAGCGGCCACUCCCAGUCCCCAGUCUAGCUGCCACAUUCUGGAUUAGUUGUAGUUUCCGGGUCACCUUCAAAGGUAGCCCCACAUAGAGCGCAUUGCAGUAGUCCAAGCGAGAGAUAACCAGAGCAUGCACCACUCUGCCCAGACAGUCUGCGAGCCAGAUGGAGCUAUAGACAGAAAAGCAGGGAGAGGAGUUAAAUGUUCACAUUUGAUACCAGAAGGACAAAUCAUUGCAGUUUAAUCCUUGUGGACAGCCUCAUUCCCCCACCCCAAGGUGUAACGGGACAGCAGAUCACAGCUUGGGGAGCAGCUAUAGUUGAGACAGCACAUACUUUGAAUGCAGAAGAUCCAGGUUACAGGUUGUUGUUGUUUAGUCGUUUAGUCAUUUAGUCGUGUCCGACUCUUCGUGACCCCAUGGACCAGAGCACGCCAGGCACUUCUGUCUUCCACUGCCUCCUGCAGUUUGGUCAAACUCAUGCUGGUAGCUUCGAGAACACUAUCCAACCAUCUCGUCCUCUGUUGUCCCCUUCUCCUUGUUUCCCAACAUCAGGGUUUUUUCCAGAGAGUCUUCUCUUCUCAUGAGGUGGCUGAAGUAUUGGAGCCUCAGCUUCAGUGAGCACUCAGGGCUGAUUUCCUUCAGAAUGGAUAGGUUUGAUCUUCUUGCAGUCCAUGGGACUCUCAAGAGUCUCCUCCAGCAUCAUAAUUCAAAAGCAUCAAUUCUUCGGUGAUCAGCCUUCUUUAUGGUCCAGCUUUCACUUCCAUACAUCACUAAUGGGAAAACCAUAGCUUUUGCUAUACGGACCUUUGUUGGCAAGGUGGUGUCUCUAGGUUACAGGUACCUGACAGGAUUAGGAGAGGCCAGGCAUACAAUAUCUGUGGAGCAUGCACAUUGAACACCCCCUAUGCAGUCCAUCCAAAUGCCAAAACAGAUCUGCCUACACAACACUGUUUCUUUCCCUAUUUUUAUGCGAAUGAUUAUUUGCUCAUAAAUGCCAACAGGGUAUAAAAAUAACCAUUGCCAACUAAGCCUACGAGGACUGAUUUUUUAUUUAUUUUUUGCACGUGCAGCCAUGCUACAUUUAUUCCCCACAAAAAAAAUAUUAUUUUACUCUAAUUGGAACCCUGUUUCUCAUCUGUGACUAAGCCCUUCUAAUUUUUAGCACCGAAUAGUUCAAAUUCUGGCAUAGGAUAAAGGAUACCAUUUCAGUGCAUUAUGCCUCCAGAAGAAAAUGGGUUCCCUUUUUUGUUCAUUUUAAAUCAAUGGUAAAACAAUAACAACAGCAGCCAAGGCGACAUUUUUCCACCUUCGCCGCAUCAAGCAUUUGGUCCCUUACUUUUCCCGCCCCGACCUGGCCACAGUGAUCCAUGCGACGGUCACCUCCAGGCUUGACUACUGUAAUUCGCUCUAUGCGGGGCUGCCCUUGAAGCUGUCCCAGAAACGCCAGUGGGUGCAGAAUGCUUCAGUGAGGCUCCUCACAGGGUCCCUGCCAUCGGAGCAUAUUCACCCAGUGCUUUACCAGUUGCACUGGCUCCCGGUGGAGUACAGGGUCAGAUUUAAGGUGCUGGUUUUGACUUUUAAAGCCCUUCAUGGCCUAGGACCCUCGUACCUACGGGACCGCCUCUCCUGUUAUGCCCCACGGAGGACCUUAAGGUCCAUAAAUAGCAGCACCCUAGAGGUCCCAGGCCCUAAGGAAGUUAGAUUAGCCUCAACCAGAGCCAGGGCCUUCUCAACACUGGCUCCGGCUUGGUGGAACGUUCUGCCUCAUGAGACCAGGGCCCUGCAGGAUCUGAUCUCUUUCCGCAGGGCCUGUAAGACAGAGUUGUUCCACCUGGCCUUUGGCUCAGAAUCAGUUUGAUUCCCUCCCCCUCUUUCUUUUUCCUUUCUCCUCCUAUGAAGAGAUUGUUCCCUAAUUGUUUUAAUGUUGUAUCUUAAUUCUUUUAAAUUGUAUUUUAAUCAACUUGUUUUUAUUAUUGGUUGUUAGCUGCCCUGAGCCCGGUCUUGGCUGGGGAGGGCAGGGUAUAAAUAAAAAAUUAUUUAUUUAUUUAUUAUUAUUAUUAUUAUUAUUAUUAUUAGGCAGAGGCAUUAAGGUAAAACAUUGUGGUGAAGUCAACUGACAAAGUCACCUUGGUGGGAUAUGGAGAUGAACGCCAAAUUCACACACCAAGAGGCCCAAUUUACACAUUUGGGGUUCAUUGAAUAGAACCUGGGGUCAUCUAGACAGUGUAAAAAAUGGAAGCACCAGGGUAGCAUAAGUAAAGGUAAAGGACCCCUGGAUGGUUAAGUCCAGUCAAAGGUGACUAUGGGAUUGUGGCGCUCAUCUUGCUUCAGACCGAGGGAGCCGGGGUUUGUCCACAGACAGUUUUCUGGGUCAUGUGGCCAGCAGGACCAAACCGCUUCUGGCACAACAGAAUACCGUGAUGGAAACCAGAGUGCACAGAAAUGCUGUUUACCCUCCUGCCACUGUGGUGCCUAUUUAUCUACUUGCACUGGCGUGCUUUCGAACUACUAGGUAGGCAGGAGCUGGGACAGAGCAACAGGAGCUCAGUCGCGGGGAUUCGAACCGCCAAGCUUCUGAUCAGCAAGCCCAAGAGGCUCCUUGGUUUAGACCACAGCGCCACCCGCGUCCCAUAAGUGCGUAAGUGGACAGUGCUGGACUUGGAUGUUGGAAAUCUGGAUAACCCUGGGCUAGUAUCUCUCCGUCUUACCUCAAAAGGCUGUUAUGAUGCCAGAGUGGGACACCCCAAGUGUACUGCCUAAUAAUGUAGUUCUGCCAGUGCCACCAGACUGGUGAGCCCAUCUAACUGGUUUUCACUUUCUGGUACCAGAAAUCUCCUGGUUGCGGGGACAGCUGCCAUUUGUAUGUGACGUUUUCCAUCACCCCAGGUUCACACUGCAGUUUCAACUGGGACCCCAUGCGAUGCUACAGCCAUUUUCACAAGAUUGUGAACAACUAUGGACCAAGACUUCCAGGAAAUAGACCUGAAAUAGACCAGAAACAAGGAGGAGAUUUUGCUCUGCUGAUGAGGAAAAUGGAAGGUUCCUCGCAUUUAUAUCAGGUCCGCUCAGUGCAGAGGUCUCAUACUGCUCACGGUUCCAAGAGAUGAGAAUGGACAUCUUUAUUCACUUCUAUGCCCAAAAAGAGGUCUCUCGGUAUAUUAGGGACUCAGCAACAUUCGUCAAAAAACUACAUUUUGAAUGUGUUAUAAACAUACAACGCCAGAUGGCGCCAGAGAGCAAAAAAGUUUUCUAUGAGGUUUUUACAUAGCGUUUUCUCUCUCUUUUGUUAUAACAAUUUAAUUUCUGGCUUAUUUGUAGCUUUUUUCGCCCUGUGUGUAGAUCCACCCACAGUCAAACAGAUCGCUCGGGGAAGUCCCUACCUCAGACUAUACAGAUUCUGUUUCUAAUCCUAGAUCCCAUGACACCUCAAGGCGAAACCGUACACCACAAACAGAGUUCAGUAUAAUUUUUACCUGCUCAAUUUUUUUUUUAAAUGAAAAGCAGUCACUGCUAGGGUUGCCAUAUUCCCAAAACUGAAAAUCUGGACAAAGUUGCUUUUUUUUUUUACUUUUGCUUUUUUCUUUUUUAGUUGUUGAGCUUUUUCUAUGGAUUUUUUAAAAAAAUAAAAAAAUUACCUCCCCCCACCCCAAUACCAUACGUCCAGGUUUUCCCGGACAUUUUGCAGAUUUGGCAAAAAUCUGCCCAGACGUCAUUCUGCUGCCCAAAUCCUGGUUGUGUCUGGGGAAAUCCAGAUGUAUGCAGCCCUAGUACUCAGAAAUCAAAGAAUAGUCAGUGAACUGCCCUCUUUUCGGUGAACCGCCCUGAGACCUCUGUGUAUAGGGUGCUUUGUAAAUUCAGUAAAUAAUAAUAGUACAAUUAAACUGCCCUCAACUUUUCCCCCUGCCCCCCCUUUCCCCUCUCAAAACUGCUGUCCUCAAACUGCUUUUCUCCCCAUGCGGGUAAAUGCACAGAAACCGAUAUGUUUUCCUCUCUGAGGGAAAAAGCAGCUUUAAGUGACAGCUUUAAGAGACUCUCUUGGUUGUGAGUCGUGGAAGACCUGCUCCCUGCUUUGCUGGCCCGGAAGACAAGGCCUUGACUGACUUCAGUCACAAAACCCGAGGCUGCUGUUUAGGGGUUUGUGUCGUUAUUGAUAUUCACUUUUUACAUCUUUAUUUUUAUUAUGAUUUAAUGCUCUAAUGGUUAAUUUGGUUGUGUAUUUUUUUUUAUGCGUUUUAUUAUUGUGUGUGACCAUUUUUAUUAUAUUUAUUUGUAAUUAUGUGGUGUGUUUUUUCAUGUUGUAAGCUGCCUCGAGUGUGGCAUGAACUAUGGAAAGGCGGCAUACAAGUAAAAUGAUUUAUGAUUUAUGCAUUCUGUAUAAUGAUAGGUAAAUGGUCGGCAGGGAAAGGGUUAAGCACCCCCUCCCCACCCCCUCUUUUUUCCUUCCUGAUUGCAACAGCUGUUUUUCAUAUUAAACAAGCAAACAAAAAAAUAUGACUUUUUUUUUGAAGAACAUUUGUUGACAGCCUAAUCAGCAAAAGUCCUCUGGGCAGUUGCAACAGAGUAAAAAAAAUAUACAAUUAAAACGUUACAAUAUUAAAACAUUAAUUAAAACGUUAAAACUCAAUCCAUUUCCUGCCUAAAAACCAGUGUAUGCAGCUAAGAGCUUUUAAAAUGCAGCUUAGACAAUAUGUCCCAAGAGCAAAAAAAAAACCCCAUAGUUUUAAAAGGUAAGGUAAAGGUAAAGGGAC
rnacentral:lncRNA from 1 species